rnacentral:rRNA from 1 species
GACGAACGCUGGCGGCGUGCUUAACACAUGCAAGUCGAACGGAAAGGCCCUGCUUUUGUGGGGUGCUCGAGUGGCGAACGGGUGAGUAACACGUGAGUAACCUGCCCUUGACUUUGGGAUAACUUCAGGAAACUGGGGCUAAUACCGGAUAGGAGCUCCUGCUGCAUGGUGUGGGUUGGAAAGUUUCGGCGGUUGGGGAUGGACUCGCGGCUUAUCAGCUUGUUGGUGGGGUAGUGGCUUACCAAGGCUUUGACGGGUAGCCGGCCCGAGAGGGUGACCGGCCACAUUGGGACUGAGAUACGGCCCAGACUCCUACGGGAGGCAGCAGUGGGGAAUAUUGCACAAUGGGCGGAAGCCUGAUGCAGCAACGCCGCGUGCGGGAUGACGGCCUUCGGGUUGUAAACCGCUUUCGCCUGUGACGAAGCGUGAGUGACGGUAAUGGGUAAAGAAGCAACGGCUAACUACGUG